rnacentral:rRNA from 1 species
UACGGGGGGGGCAAGCGUUGUUCGGAAUUACUGGGCGUAAAGGGCCAGUAGGCGGCAAACUAAGUCGGAUGUGAAAUCCCCAGGCUCAACUUGGGAACUGCAUCCGAUACUGGAUGGCUUGAAUCCGGGAGAGGGAUGCGGAAUUCCAGGUGUAGCGGUGAAAUGCGUAGAUAUCUGGAGGAACACCGGUGGCGAAGGCGGCAUCCUGGACCGGUAUUGACGCUGAGGCGCGAAAGCCAGGGGAGCAAACGGG